GCCGAAGAUUUUUACAUGACAACUGGUAGAGAUUUGAUUCUGCAGUAUCUGGCCCCAGAAUAGUUCACUUGUGUAUAAUUUUCAGCCAAAGAAACCUAGUAUAAAAUCUAAAUGAUUGCUAUGGACAGAAGUGACGUGGUUGACUUUCCUUUAAAGAGGCCAUUAUUGGGAAAGAAUAUGUUCUUUCAAUUCAACCAGUUAAAACAAGACUUAACGAAGGAAGUCUCGCUAUACUUUAAGCAUAACAAAAUGUUGGUGCUCUUCUAACCACAGUUUAUAUUCUGCAGAUUAUGCACUAUGGGUAGCAUGAAAUGAAAUACAUUGUGUAUAUGUCGUCGAAUAUUCCAUAUGCAGCGAUAAAGAAAACUAUACACGCCUUUCUUAUUCUUUAUUGAAGAUUAUUGACUUUUCGGUGUGGCUGAUAGAUUAUUGACUUCAUCGGGCAAAAGAUUAUUGACCACUUGUUCCGUUUGUUUCAAAUAAUAUUCAUGAAAAAAAAGUAUUCUUCCGUUCCUUUGUCUUUUUUGUAGAAUUUUUUUGUUUCUAUUUAAUUGUCAUUUUC
rnacentral:lncRNA from 1 species